rnacentral:lncRNA from 1 species
CUUUUUAAAUUAAUACACUUAUUGUGGUUCUCAGCCAAAGAAGAGUGUACAAGAAAUUCUCUUUAUAGCCUGAGGUUCUGCCAAAAGGGAAGUAUGACAUUUGUUUAUGCUUUGACAUUGGUUCAUCCAAGAGCUAGCAGCUUGCUACCACCAUGCACUAGGGAAGGGAUAGCCAGGGUGUGAGGGAGCCUCAUUGGGAAAGGGAGCAAGAGAUGGGAUCUGUGGUGGGUAGAAAAAAUUGGGGUGACAAACCUGAUGGAAACCCUUGCAACUCUGGCUAAAGAGGACAAUCAAAGAAAUGAUGUGUGGCACUACUUUCUGGGGAUCAGUUGGAAAUGUGACUGAGGGUUAGAAAAAUACCAACAUACAUGAGACCUUCUUGAAAUUGAGAUUUUCCUCAGCAGGAUCUAUUGAAGUAUCAAUAAUGUAUUUAUCAAUACCUUGGAAUUGUUACCAUGAUCAACCAAAUGGAUUAUUUAUACAACACAAACACAGCAGUGUUUUUUUCUAGCCAUUUUUCUGUCUGAAUAUUGAGGUAUAGGUAAACUAAAGGAAGAUGCACACGUGUGUAUAUGUGUACAUAGUGCACACAUGUGCAAGAGAGGUAGGAGUAUAUUGUGUAUAUCUGUAGGAAAGCAUUGGAACAUACUCAUAGUAGAGGGAUGAGAAGGAGGACACAUCUGAAUUUGUUAUGAUGAUAAUGAUUUUUUAAACAAAUAGAACUGUUUUAAUAACAAACAUAAUUAAAGAUUAUGAAAUCAUAUUUGAUUUGCAUUAAGAAAACAUAUUCUUCAAGAAAUGAGGGCCAGAGCUCAGAUGAGCAGAACUGGUAGCAUAUUGUGGAAAAACAAAACAUUUUGAUGUUCUAACCCCAAUAAGCUCAACUCCUUUCUAUUUGAAAGCCAAUUGUUUUCAUUGACAGGGUUAAAGCAUUAUACAUGUUUCUUUGUUCAUAGUGUUAAUUUACUAAGAAAAACAUUCUUUCAUGGUAGUAUCAAUUAUGCUUCAGUCCAAUCCACACUUAAAAUUUUUGUUUCCUACUAGUGGGAUCUGAAAUUAUGAUUUAUUAUGAAGCAAUGUCAAAUAAAAACUCAAACUAAAGUGUUUUAUUAUUAAAUUCUAGGUGUUUGUUUUAACUGGGGUUUUGUCCACAUAACCGUGUAACAGCAUAAACCCAUAUUCAUUCUUAAUGCAGUGAACAUUUUUAAAAACUCUAUAAUUUAAUUUUCUUCUGCCUCUUACCCUUUUCUUCACUCAGUGAAUAGGUGAAUUAAGUACUACAUCCUCCUCACAAUUUCCUCCCCUUCCAAUGAACACAGGUUUGCCUAUUCUCUGAAAUAAUUGCCUUCCUUCUUUUUACAUGCAUCAGUAAACUGAGCGACUGUGAAUUGACAUUGGUUAGAGAGGAGGUAAACUUCAGGUUCAGAAGUGUAAAAAAAAAAAAAAAAAACAAAUAAAUGCAGCUGAUUAUGUAAGCUUUAAAAAGACAUUCUUGAUGAUAUUGUUUUAGCAAGAAUUGCUUUCCCAACCAAAUCUAUUAUGAAGCAACAUAACUUUCCAGACCAGGGAACAUCCUCACUUACUGAUCAAGGUCUGAACAACUUUGCUCCUAAAAUCUGCAGCCUAUGAAUGGCCCUUUAGGUGCAGAAAGAAAAGUAUCAUUGGUAUAUAUGAGUGUUGAUCACCCAGGGCUUUUCUCUGUUUCAAUGCGGAUACUGUGGAUGCAUUCAAUUGAUUCUAGAGAAAAUUCAGCUGCAGAUCUAAAUGUUUUCACUAUGAAAAAGUGAAGAAAGAAGAAAUAACUAAAGACUGGCUUGUGCCCAUUGUAUUUUUACUAAAACCAAAUGAAAGAUAUUUUUUAAAAUCCUUCAUUCAUUUACUCUCUUUGACAUUCAUUUACUCUCUUUGAGUUUAACCCAGAGUAAUAAAUGUUAGAAGGAGACAUGUUAGAUGUUGAGGGGAAUAAAACAAGAAGUCAGACCCAUUCAGAUCCAAGGCAGACCCAUUCAGAUCCAAGAAUGACUAGACAGAAAAUAUGGACAUCUGUAGAUAAAUUCUAGAAAAGACCUCAAGUUAAAUGUGAAAAGGACUUAUUUGGAAAGCUGCCAGAAUUGAAUCCUGGAACAGAAAAAAAAGACAGAUAUUAAUGGAAAAACUGAAAAUUCUAGUAAUGUGGCAUUUGGUUAAUGUAUCAGUGUUAGUUCCUAAGUUCUGACAAAUGUACCACAGCAGUGUAAGUAGGGAAAACAAACUGGGUGAACAGUAUGCAGGAACUUUCUAUUAUCUCUCUGCAAGUUUUCUUCAUAUCCAAAAUUAUUACAAGUAAAAUAUAUCUUCUAAAUUAUUCCAAAUAAAGACUCCACUUAAAAAAAUGCUCCAGGAGAAGGCUAUGUGAUCUCUUUUUGUGUUGAUGCUCCAGAGCAUCCUGUUUUGCAAAAAUGAUGCUGAGAGAUCUAUUAGAUCCUUCAGUAAUUGAUCUGGGAAUCAUCCAGGCCUUUCCAUUUUGUUUGAAAAUAAAAUGCACAACCAGUCUUGUAUGAUGUGCAUCAUAAGACUGACAGUUGCAAUGGGGCUGGUGAGAAUUUGGGGUGUUUGUAAGUCCAGGCUUAUUUCUUAGGAACUGGAUACUGAUGCCAUCAUCUUCCAGACAUGCAGGAAUGGUGGCUCUAUGGAAACCCACCUGCUUGAUUCCCAGCAGCAAGGUCAUCUUUAUGUCCUGCUUGAAUUAAAAUGAACUUGGAAAAGCUGCUGAGAUUCCGAAGAUACACUACCCUAUACCGUGUAUAAAUUUCCCCACCACUAAAGAGAGAAGUGCUUUUUUUGUACAAAGAUAUUUUCAAAGUGAGACUACUUAAGCAAACUGUCAAAUAUUGCUCUUCUUGUGGUAAAGAAACCUCCUCAAUGUCAUCUGUUUUUCAUCCAUAUGUGAGAACUCCAGCCUCCAGACAAAUCCUGUGCCAUAUAGAUGUUGGUAGAUGAUUACUGGCAUGGGGUGAUCUGAGGGAAGGGAAAGGCCAGCUUGUCCAGAAAUACCAUCCUGCUAAAGCUGAAAAGGCUUGCAGUUCCCGUUACUCACUCCUUUUGGUUAGGAUGGGUACUAGAAAGCAUCUUUUAAAAUGUUGCUUCAGUGGAGCAAUGUGACAGCAAACAAACCAU